AUUGAACGCUGGCGGCAGGCCUAACACAUGCAAGUCGAGCGCGCGGCGGACGGGUGAGUAAUGUAUGGGGAUCUGCCUGAUGGCGGGGGAUAACUACUGGAAACGGUAGCUAAUACCGCAUACCAUCAGAUGAACCAAUAUGGGAGUAGCUUGUAGGUGAGGUAACGGCUUACCUAGGCGACGAUCCAUAGCUGGUUUGAGAGGAUGAUCAGCCACACGUGGACUGAGACACGGCCCAGACUCCGCCGGGAGGCAGCAGUGGGGAAUAUUGCACAAUGGGCGCAAGCCUGAUGCAGCCAUGCCGCGUGUAUGAAGAAGGCCUUCGGGUUGUAAAGUACUUUCAGGCGGGAGGCGUUACCGACAGAAGAAGCACCGGCUAACUCCGUGCCAGCCGCCGCGGUAAUUC
rnacentral:rRNA from 1 species